CCUACGGGACGCACCAGUAGGGAAUCUUCGGCAAUGGACGAAAGUCUGACCGAGCAACGCCGCGUGAGUGAAGAAGGUUUUCGGAUCGUAAAACUCUGUUGUUAGAGAAGAACAAGUAGGAGAGUAACUGCUCUUACCUUGACGGUAUCUAACCAGAAAGCCACGGCUAACUACGUGCCGGCAGCCGCGGUAAUACGUAGGUGGCAAGCGUUGUCCGGAUUUAUUGGGCGUAAAGCGAGCGCAGGCGGUCUUUUAAGUCUGAUGUGAAAGCCCUCGGCUCAACCGAGGAAGGUCAUUGUAAACUGGAGGACUUGAGUGCAGAAGAGGAGAGUGGAAUUCCAUGUGUAGCGGUGAAAUGCGUAGAUAUAUGGUGGAACACCAGAGGCGAAGGCGACUCUCUGGUCUGUAACUGACGCUGAUGUGCGAAAGCGUGGGGAUCAAACAGGAUUAGAUACCCCAGUAGUC
rnacentral:rRNA from 1 species